GGCACAUCCCAACGAGAAACAACGAUUCUCUCCCAGCCUCCAAGAUGAAGACCCAACGCAUCUAUGUUGUUAUAUUGACAAUCAUGUUCUUUUUAUCGAUGGUUCCUAUGCAAAACAGUCUGUAAACAUCAUAAUGGACGCCGCAGAUGCUGCCAUUAAAGUCAUCCAAAAAGUUCUCUUCCCACAAAACUGCUGCGUCAUUGACGGGGAAGAGUACAAGGAUGGCGAGUCCUUCAUAAAUGCUGAUAACGAAACCUGUAUUUGCAAUGCUGGCACUCCUGACUGUGCUGUAGAAUAAGUGAGCUCUCCAUCCCCGCACCACUACCGAGGAACGAAUCAAGCGCAGUAAGGAGGCUGAACAAACAUCAAUUUUCAAAUCUUCAAGAAUGGCAACUGUAGGCUUAUUUGUGUGAAAUUUCCUCUCUAGUGUCGUGGUAAAAUCGGCUUAUGGAUUUAUGUCUAUGCAUAUCUGUAUAUGUAUGCAUGUAUUAAUAUUUCUGAUACGAUAAUGGCCAUAGUUAUCUGGGGAUGAUUAAGAAAAUCGCAUGAGACGUGUAUGAAGAUCAAUAUACAUUGCAUAAACCCUUUCUGAUUGUUUGAGUGGUCUUAUGAUGUCCCUUAAUUAAAUGCAUAUUUACACAUACAAUGUUGAAGUAAAUAUAAAGUAAGUAAGUACAAUUAUCAAAAUGAGAAAUUGGUAUUAGUAAAGACCUUAGCUUCUGGGUUUAUUACAUUUAUAGAAAGGAGGUUGUGAGCUUAGCCUAAGUCUGUACAGGGUGUGGAGGGCUUUUUACAGGCAACGGCUCCACUCCAGGCUUGGUUACGUAAUAAAUCACUGAUAUAUUUUU